GGGCUGGUAGUUUAGUCUGGCUGAAUGCCGCCUUCGCAAGGCGGAGAUCGCGGGUUCAAUUCCCGCCCAGUCCACCA
rnacentral:tRNA from 1 species